rnacentral:rRNA from 1 species
UGGUGGCCAUAGCAAGCGGGAACCACCCGAUCCCAUCCCGACCUCGGAAGUGAAACCGCUUAGCGCCGAUGAUAGUGUGGUUAAAUCCAUGUGAAAGUAGGACACCGCC